AUUGAACGCUGGCGGCAUGCUUUACACAUACAAGUCGAACGGUAACAGGCCGCAAGGUGCUGACGAGUGGCGAACGGGUGAGUAAUGCAUCGGAACGUGCCCAGUCGUGGGGGAUAACUGCUCGAAAGAGCAGCUAAUACCGCAUACGAUCUAUGGAUGAAAGCGGGGGACCGUAAGGCCUCGCGCGAUUGGAGCGGCCGAUGUCAGAUUAGGUAGUUGGUGGGGUAAAGGCUCACCAAGCCAACGAUCUGUAGCUGGUCUGAGAGGACGACCAGCCAAACUGGGACUGGGAAACGGCCCAGACUCCUACGGGAGGCAGCAGUGGGGAAUUUUGGACAAUGGGGGCAACCCUGAUCCAGCAAUGCCGCGUGCAGGAAGAAGGCCUUCGGGUUGUAAACUGCUUUUGUACGGAACGAAACGGUCUGGGUUAAUACCCUGGGUUAAUGACGGUACCGUAAGAAUAAGCACCGGCUAACUACGUGCCAGCAGCCGCAGUAACAC
rnacentral:rRNA from 1 species